rnacentral:rRNA from 1 species
AACGAACGCUGGCGGCAUGCCUAACACAUGCAAGUCGAACGAGACCUUCGGGUCUAGUGGCGCACGGGUGCGUAACGCGUGGGAACCUGCCCUUAGGUUCGGAAUAACUCCCCGAAAGGGGUGCUAAUACCGGAUAAUGUCUUCGGACCAAAGAUUUAUCGCCUUUGGAUGGGCCCGCGUUGGAUUAGCUAGUUGGUAGGGUAAAAGCCUACCAAGGCGACGAUCCAUAGCUGGUCUGAGAGGAUGAUCAGCCACACUGGGACUGAGACACGGCCCAGACUCCUACGGGAGGCAGCAGUGGGGAAUAUUGGACAGUGGGCGAAAGCCUGAUCCAGCAAUGCCGCGUGAGUGAUGAAGGCCUUAGGGUUGUAAAGCUCUUUUACCCGGGAUGGUAAUGACAGUACCGGGAGAAUAAGCUCCGGCUAACUCCGUG